rnacentral:lncRNA from 1 species
AGCAGCUGUCUUCCCCUGAGCAGUCAUGUCUCAAGGAUCUGCUGGAACAAAAAGGUCAUUACCUGCCAAUGAGUAAGAGAGCAAAGACAGUUUGAUCUCUUUAGGAAGUGAGUUCCAGAACCUGUAUUUUUAAAGCUGUAUCCAUUUUAACCUGUCUAAGCCUUCUUAUAAUAGAAAUAGUAGUCAUAGUAGUAAAGCCUUCUAAAGAGAGAUCAAUAUUUAAGCAGCAUUUGCUUUGUAGCCAUUAGAAAAGCUUUCACUCAGAGGCGGUUCAACUACCAGGCCAACUAGGCAGUUGCCUGUGAUGCCAUCUUGUUGGGGGCACCAUCGAGGCAACUCCUGUAUCCUGCGGCCUGCCUCCUCAAGGAACUUGCCUCAUUUGAAUAUGAACUGCCAGAGAACAAUAACCUCCUAUUCCACCUUUCAUGCUUCACCAAGGAGUAGUUCCAUAAAUCACAAAUAUUGUAGGUGGAAGUAUGGAGAGUGACUGACAACGUACUGAUAUCCGAGGCACCGGCAUUCAAAUUAAUUUGAACCUGCAGCAGAGAGUUCCGCAGAUCCAUCGCAAAGGGACAGAGCGGGACCGCAGCGGACUAUUAUUAAAAGCUCUUUUUUUCUCUUUACUUUCCCCUUCCCUGAACUAUGUAACAAAUCCCCCCAAUAAAAGUAGCAUUCAUUUUAUAACAGUAACACUCUCUAUCUGGUUAUUUUGUGUCUUUCCUUGACUCCUUUUUACAUGCAAUCCUCCCCCUCCCUCUCACUAACCCCGUCCGCCCUUUAAACUCUGGCUGAGACUCCUCCGCCAUAGGUUAAUAUGGCGGACGAUACAAAUUGGCUCAUAUCUCUAUCAAAAUUACCCCUAGCACGCGCUUCUUUUAGUUCUAACACUUCCUAAGGCUCCUGACCCAAGGACCACCAGCGGAACCAAAAUCGGUCCAGUUCUCGGCACCUCAUCAGCUGACUGUCAAACGGAACCGACUGCUCUUUUCAAGCCAGACUGCUCUUUUCCAGCCUUAUCCCAGACUUUCCUCUCCCCGCGACCCGCGGGAUGGUUUUAAGAGACCACCGGUCCUUUCUGUGAACUGUGGAUGAUGGAUCAUUCUCCCUGCUGGGGAGAUAUAGUUCUCCAAGGACCUUCACCCUCUCUACAGCUGCCAGGAGGGUGCCUGGACGGGCGCCCUCCACGUUUCGUCCACACCUUCAUAAUUUUAUGAAUGAGAAGAACACUUUUCCCAAACCUACCCCUGAACUUAUGAAAUCCUAUACUUCCAAAGACUGCAACUCACAUGUACCUCUUCCCCUUGCUAUUUCUAUGAAUUCCUUCCACCACAGAUGAACUCUUCUCCCAAUGUACCCGUGUAUUUUUAUAUCCUAUGAACUUGGACAUCCUCAUGAAUUACUAUUAUAUGAAUUUCAAAUCGUUGGGCUAACUUCAUGAAUUGUAAAAUAAUGCUGCUAAAACUCCACUUUUAUGAAUUUCCACGCUGGGUUCUCCAGAUGUUAUGAACUUCGUUCUUAUCAAAUAUUUUCAAUUGUUUAUAUCAUUCAUGAUUCCCCUUUAUGAAAUGUAACUCACUUUUAUGAAUUCUCCCUUAUUUCCAUGAAAUCUAUCUAUCUGCCUAUAUGUAUUUGUACUCUUUGGAAUCCCCGGAAAAUAUGUAUUUUUCCCAGCCUGGGUUAUAUUCCAACUUUAUUUUAUUUUUCAUUUUAUUUCAUAUAAUUGUCAAAUCAUGAAAUCAAAUAGGAAAUAUUUUGAACUCAACAUGAACCCCAGAACCUAUCCCAUUUCCUAUGACCCAGGCUUCCUUUCCCAAAAACAAAAGGAUAAUCUGCCACCGCUAAAUCCAAUCAAAUUCAAAUUGCAUGGACAAUAUAGGGCUUGAGUCACCGAAUUCGGAGUUGUUGACCUAAAGGUGAUUCGCCCCAAGGCAAACAUUGUCAUAGCUCACCCAAAGAAAUAUCCAGGACACCUCAGGAAGGCGCCUUGCAGAGCCUGUCAAUAUGGCUCAUCACCACCCAUCUUUGCUUCCAUCUCUGACACCCCAAGGCAUAUCUAAAAUCUGUAUACGUGACAGAAACCCGGACGUCCUUGAUUGCUGCCAUUAAUAAAAUAGCACCCUUUAGAAAUCAGUCUAGCAGGACUUAAUCCUCUGGUUCCUGUCCCCGUCACCUCAUUGUUUCGCUAACUCCCGCCUUCUGUCUCCUGAUUGGCCCGAGUGGAGACGUAAGGCAGCUUCCUAUUGGGCCAACGGAGCGAGGCGGGAAACAAAAGCCCGCCUCGUUCAACCUUCUAGCCUAUCAACGAUCAGAUGGGCGGGGAAGCAGGGCAGGAAAUUCAAGGGGCUGUCAGACUGAAAUUUUGUAUAAAUAUGGCUUUAUUUUGAUUGUAUGGUACUUCUAGUAAGUCGAAUGAUCGCUACUAGAGUCCUCUUCAGCUGAAUUGCUCAAUAAAGACUCCUUGGCGGAUUUUCCUUCAACUUUGGCGGACCUUCUUCAUUUCGGCUUCAGGUUGUAUUGCGGCUCGUAUUUUCCUUUUGGCUCCGCCAAGGUCCGUUCUCUCAGGACCGGAUCGGGUCUCUCCUUAAGGGCCCCGAUCCCCUAAAACGCGGUCGACAACAGUACCAUAAACAAUCAGUGAAAUUUGCUUCCCCUGUUGACUCACUGGUCAUAUGAUGAUGAUGAUGAUGAUGAUGAUGAUGAUGAUGAUGAUGAAGAAUACCUUUUCUCUUAAAAGAUACUCAAAAUGGCUAACAGUGUUAAAAACAACACACUGAAUAAUUUUUAAAACUGAAGAUAUAUAAAUACUAAGCCAGAAUUAAUCAUAAGACUAUUAAAAUAAUUAAAACCAGUAAAAUCAUUUAAAAAAAAUUAAAUACAUAAAACACUCCUGGCUCUAUCUUAAAAACAUUUUUUCUUUAAAAGAAAACUGGUAAGGACUAAGCAAUGAGAUUCAAGUCAGAAUUUCAUACACACACUUCUGUCAUCA